rnacentral:rRNA from 1 species
UGCACAAUGGGGGCAACCCUGAUGCAGCCAUGCCGCGUGUGUGAAGAAGGCCUUCGGGUUGUAAAGCACUUUCAGUUGUGAGGAAAGGUUAGUAGUUAAUACCUGCUAGCUGUGACGUUAACAACAGAAGAAGCACCGGCUAACUCCGUGCCAGCAGCCGCGGUAAUACGGAGGGUGCGAGCGUUAAUCGGAAUUACUGGGCGUAAAGCGCACGCAGGCGGUCUGUUAAGCUAGAUGUGAAAGCCCCGCGCUCAACGUGGGAGGGUCAUUUAGAACUGGCAGACUAGAGUCUUGGAGAGGGGAGUGGAAUUCCAGGUGUAGCGGUGAAAUGCGUAGAGAUCUGGAGGAACAUCAAUGGCGAAGGCAACUCCCUGGCCAAAGACUGACGCUCAUGUGCGAAAGUGUGGGUAGCGAACAGGAUUAGAUACCCUGGUAGUCCACACCGUAAACGCUGUCUACUAGCUGUUUGUGGAUUUAAUCCGUGAGUAGCGAAGCUAACCCCGAUAAGUAGACCGCCUGGGGAGUACGGCCGCAAGGUUAAAACUCA